UCUGCAGGUGGUUUCUUAAGUCUACUGUUAAAACUUGAGGCUCAACCUCAAAUCUGCAGUAGAAACUAGGAGACUUGAGUAUAGUAGGGGUAGAGGGAAUUUCCAGUGGAGCGGUGAAAUGCGUAGAUAUUGGAAAGAACACCGAUGGCGAAGGCACUCUACUGGGCUAUUACUGACACUCAGAGACGAAAGCUAGGGGAGCAAAUG
rnacentral:rRNA from 1 species